UGUAGCACUGUGUCUGUUUUUAUUUAGUUGAUAUAGACUUACAGAUAGGUACAAAAAAAAAAUCCUCUUUUGCAACCCAGAACUCAUUGUUCAGUAUGAAUUUUCAUAUAUAUCAGAUGGAAUAUU
rfam:Tupaia chinensis contig97455, whole genome shotgun sequence.